rnacentral:rRNA from 1 species
GGCAGCAGCCGCGGUAACACCGGCGGCCCGAGUGGUGAUCGUGAUUAUUGGGUCUAAGGGUCCGUAGCCGGUUUGGUCAGUCCUCCGGGAAAUCUGAUAGCUCAACUAUUAGGCUUUCGGGGGAUACUGCCAGACUUGGAACCGGGAGAGGUAAGAGGUACUACAGGGGUAGGAGUGAAAUCUUGUAAUCCCUGUGGGACCACCUGUGGCGAAGGCGUCUUACCAGAACGGGUUCGACGGUGAGGGACGAAAGCUGGGGGCACGAACCGGAUUAGAUACCCGGGUAGUCCCAGCCGUAAACGAUGCUCGCUAGGUGUCAGGCAUGGCGCGACCGUGUCUGGUGCCGCAGGGAAGCCGUGAAGCGAGCCACCUGGGAAGUACGGCCGCAAGGCUGAAACUUAAAGGAAUUGGCGGGGGAGCACAACAACGGGUGGAAGCCUGCGGUUUAAUUGGACUCAACGCCGGACAACUCACCGGGGGCGACAGCAAUAUGUAGGCCAAGCUGAAGACUUUGCCUGAAUCGCUGAGAAGAGGUGCAUGG